rnacentral:rRNA from 1 species
UACGGAGGAUCCGAGCGUUAUCCGGAUUUACUGGGUUUAAAGGGUGCGUAGGCGGGCGCUUAAGUCAGCGGUGAAAUGCGGGGGCUCAACCUUCGAACGGCCGUUGAUACUGGGCGCCUUGGAUUCGGUCGAGGCGGGCGGAAUGCGACAUGUAGCGGUGAAAUGCUUAGAUAUCGUCAAGAACACCGAUAGCGAAGGCAGCUUACUAGACUGUAACUGACGCUGAGGCACGAAAGUGUGGGGAUCAAACAGGAUUAGAAA